rnacentral:lncRNA from 1 species
UUCUGCUCCUGGUGAUCUAAUACUCUUAGACUCCAGGCCUUAUGUACUCUUCUGAUUUCUGUGGGUCCUUCUUUGGGUCCUGUGGCAAGAUUAAGAUUUUCUGUGCUUUAAAGAUGUUGUGAAUCAUAGAAUGUCUUCUGUUUCUUGGAGGAGCUGCUGUGAAC